rnacentral:rRNA from 1 species
GACGUAGGAGGCGAGCGUUGUCCGGAAUUAUUGGGCGUAAAGGGCGCGUAGGCGGCCUGGCAAGUGACGGGUGAAAGCCCUCGGCUCAACCGAGGAACUGCCUGUCAUACUGCCGGGCUUGAGUCCGGGAGAGGUGAGUGGAAUUCCCAGUGUAGCGGUGAAAUGCGUAGAUAUUGGGAGGAACACCAGUGGCGAAGGCGGCUCACUGGACCGGAACUGACGCUGAGGCGCGAAAGCGUGGGGAGCAAACAGG